UACGUAGGGGGCAAGCGUUGUCCGGAAUCAUUGGGCGUAAAGCGCGUGUAGGCGGUUCGGUAAGUCUGCUGUGAAAGUCCAGGGCUCAACCCUGGGAUGCCGGUGGAUACUGUCGGACUAGAGUACGGAAGAGGCGAGUGGAAUUCCCGGUGUAGCGGUGGAAUGCGUAGAGAUCCGGAGGAAGACCGGUGGCGAAGGCGGUCUGCUGGGCAGUUUCUGACACUGAGGCGCGACAGCGUGGGGAGCAAACAGG
rnacentral:rRNA from 1 species